rnacentral:lncRNA from 1 species
ACAUCAAAAGCAACCCUGAAAAAGAAAAGAAAAAGAAGAGGUGUCACAGAAGGGCAAAUUGAAACCUAGAGAAAAAAGGUGAGAUAAGGACAGUGUCUGACUAGACAGCCAGCUCUGGGUGUAAUGGGAAAUCCCCCUUUGCCAAAUUCUCGAGGUGUUUCCAUGCAGUAAUUCCUUAUGCCAAGAUCCUUUACUCACCCACUGUAGCUCUCAUCUACUACAGUUAUUUCAUAGUUGACCUGGAGAGGAGGGAAGGAGGAGAAGGAGGAGGAGGAGGUCAAAGGACCAGGGUUACUUAACUCAAUAGUGGUGAGUAGGAAACACAUGCAUGGUUAAUGAAGAUAAUUAAUAUGCAAAAUAUGUUCUGAUUAAAAGUUAAGGCAGAAAAAGAUACAACAAAUCUCCCUCUGUCUUACUCUCAUCACUAUCAUCAUUCCUCCGAGGGGACAUGAUACAGCAGUUCUUUGAAUGAAGUAUUUUCAAUGAAAUAGCUUAGAAAAAGACAGUGCUCCAUGUGCCCCAACCCAGCUCACCCAGUUUCUCUGCGUUGAGGUUAAGGCUCAAGCUCCAGUUCUGAGUCAAGGGAUACUAUGCUUUCCCAUGCAAUGGCUCUCAAGCUUAUCCGUUUUAAGGAAACUCAUAGGAGCGAUGGCCAUAUUCUGACGCAGGAUUUAUUUUCUUGAGAUCUUUAGACAUAAUGUCAUCCUAUAGCACCCCAAUAGCCCUCCUCCAAUUUUUUAAACUGCCAUGGUUUCAUCAUAAUUGUUAGCAGAUGCAUUUACUAGAUUAGCUAAACCAUUGCUGGACAGAAACUAAGGCCCGGAGGGUGGUGGUCACAAAGGAAGGACCCCAGGGGAAUUCUGCCAAAUCCUGAUGUCAAGUGCCUGGGGAGGAUUGGACAGUCAGAAGAAUCUUGGAAACCUUGGUGUUGGAAAACUUUUCAAAGGAGGCCGAAAGGGAAGAGAUGAAAAGGGCUUGAACCAGACCUGCUUGGCAGUUGUAUCUACAGAGCAGUGCUCAAACCACCUGUGGGGAAGACCAGGUGUGUUUUGGAACUUUGUUCAUUUGUUUGGUUUUCAUUUCAGUUCAUUGUGGACUGAAUACUUUUGUACAAUACGACACAAAUGAGUAGAAAAUUAAAAUGUUUAAAAAGGCAUACACAAUGCAUGCCUUAUUUUAGGAUUAGAUUGGACAGACAUUAAAUUACAUUUCAUUAAAUAAAAAAUAAAUUAGUGUAGAGUCAUGAUAAAUGGCUGUAACAGCUUCUAAACUCUGUCUUCAUCUUGCCUGAGAUAAGUGAUAAACAGGUCUGGCUCUUCCUUAUUUCUCCACAGGUCUGGAGGCCACAAUUUGAGUAACAAGGCUUUAGAGGGCAUGGCUCAUGAAUAUGAUGAAGCGGGUGUCUGGACUGGCAAAGAAAGCCCAGUGGAAAGAACCAUAUCUGGUCUUUGGAGCAUCCAGAGAGCUGCUCUAUAUGGGUCUCUCAAAACACAGAAGGGUCGAGAGAGAAGAGGGAUGGAGGAAAACAGAAACCCCAAGCUCAAAAUCAGCAUCUCCAAGAGCAGCUAAUAAGGACAGCUGAAUACAACACAGCAAAGGAAACUCAAGGACCCCAACCCAUGAACCAGUCCCUCGCUGAGCACUGCCUUGCACUUGCUCAGCCCAGCACAGCUGCUUCAAAAUCCAUCCAAAACAAACAAGGCUGUCCCCGCAGCAGACUCAACAGAACAAAAAUCAACACCCAGAAAUAAAUUAGAUCGCAGAACUCAUCAUGUUACAUAGCCCACUGUUCUCAAAUCCAGGAUUCUGAAUGUUAUAACAAUGAUACUGUUAACCCAUGCAUCAUUCUAAAGCUAAAACCAAAUAACUCGUUACUAUCAACCAACAUGAUUCUCAGAAUUUUCCAGGUCAGCUACAAGAAAGAGUUAUGAGACUGUCUUCCCAACUGAACUAAAUCUCACCAUGUCUAAUUGCAGUGUAUAUGGGUAAAUCCGUUUUCCCUCUGCACAGCCAGCUUGUCUCUUAGAGCAUCUAAGCCCCAGAACUUCUCAAAGCAGGGCAGGCAGGCAGGCAGGUUGAAAGCCACAUGGGGUCUGGAGCCAGCACCUAAGAGUUUAAGAACUGACUCUGCCACCUGCUAGCUCGGUCAUCUCCCUCAAGCCCUCAUCCACAAAACAAGACUAAUGAUAGACACCUCCCUGGAGACAGAGUAGAAAAUGCCUAGCAAUUUGUAAAAAUCUGUGUGGAUGUCAUUCACUACAAAGAAAUAAGCAUCUGAGCGAAACGUUUUUAAUCAAUGUCCCCCCUCAGCCCCGCCAGAAAUGAGGCUUUGUCUUUUACACAGUUCAUUUCUUCCUUAUAGUUCAAAUUACUUCCACAUGUCUCAUAUUAUCUUUCUUAUGUUCCCAACAUCGCUGAGAUAUGCUGGGGACUGGCAUCAUCACAUCCACUUUAGAGCUUGAGAAGCAGCACCUGAGGGACCCAUCAAGGUACCCCAACAGGGACAAAGAUGACUUGAAAAGAAACAGUGACGUUUAGCUGGAACUAACAAGUUUGCUUUGUUACGUGUGUGGCUUUUCUUAAUCUGUCUCUUCCUUACUUCACCCACAGGUCUCUGCGACAGGAAGUCACUGCUCUGUUUUGCUUUUGUUAAAUUCUUCUAAUUUUCUAUGCAAGAAAGUAUUACUGUUGUUGUACCCCUGCAAAGUGAAAACAGGAUAUUUCUUAAAUUCUGUGCUCUGGCGGUAUAUUUAUUAAUAUACAAGUCAUUCCAGAUCAGGCAAAUGAUUUGGUCCAGGUGGUAUGUAGUGUGACCUCAGGCAAAUUACUUUGUCUCCUUGAGCAUAUUUCUUCAGUUGUGAACAUUAUAUAUAAUAUUAAAAACUGUAUAGUAAUGUAAUGUAAAUAUAAAUAAAAAUGUUUGUCCUACCUUCCUCACAGACAUAAGGCAUGAAAACAUAUAGAUGAUCAUGUAAAGAGAAUUUUGGAAAUAAAUUUGGAGCACUUCACUUAUUUAUUACAUUAUUGUGUAUAAUAUGUAAUAUUGUUUACUAUUAUUCCUAUUGACUUGUGUUAGAAAACAAUUUUGUAGGAGUCUUUUGCAAUCUGCCAAAAGAGUCUGGAUUUCAAUUCUCCU